UACGAAGGGGGCUAGCGUUGCUCGGAAUGACUGGGCGUAAAGGGCGCGUAGGCGGAUCACGCAGUCAGAUGUGAAAUUCCUGGGCUUAACCUGGGGGCUGCAUUUGAGACGCGUGGUCUAGAGUGUGAAAGAGGGUCGUGGAAUUCCCAGUGUAGAGGUGAAAUUCGUAGAUAUUGGGAAGAACACCGGUGGCGAAGGCGGCGACCUGGUUCACAACUGACGCUGAGGCGCGAAAGCGUGGGGAGCAAACAGG
rnacentral:rRNA from 1 species